rnacentral:tRNA from 1 species
GUGGCAAUGGAUCUCGGUUGAUGUCUCUUCUGCAUGGCAUGCAGGGGGUCAGGAGUUCGAGUCUCCUUGGCUCCA